GCAAGUCGAGCGGAUGAAGGGAGCUUGCUCCCGGAUUCAGCGGCGGACGGGUGAGUAAUGCCUAGGAAUCUGCCUGGUAGUGGGGGACAACGUUCCGAAAGGAGCGCUAAUACCGCAUACGUCCUACGGGAGAAAGUGGGGGAUCUUCGGACCUCACGCUAUCAGAUGAGCCUAGGUCGGAUUAGCUAGUAGGUGGGGUAAUGGCUCACCUAGGCGACGAUCCGUAACUGGUCUGAGAGGAUGAUCAGUCACACUGGAACUGAGACACGGUCCAGACUCCUACGGGAGGCAGCAGUGGGGAAUAUUGGACAAUGGGCGAAAGCCUGAUCCAGCCAUGCCGCGUGUGUGAAGAAGGUCUUCGGAUUGUAAAGCACUUUAAGUUGGGAGGAAGGGCAGUAAGUUAAUACCUUGCUGUUUUGACGUUACCAACAGAAUAAGCACCGGCUAACUUCGUGCCAGCAACCGCGGUAAUACGAAGGGUGCAAGCGUUAAUCGGAAUUACUGGGCGUAAAGCGCGCGUAGGUGGUUUGGUAAGAUGGAUGUGAAAUCCCCGGGCUCAACCUGGGAACUGCAUCCAUAACUGCCUGACUAGAGUACGGUAGAA
rnacentral:rRNA from 1 species